UACGAAGGGGGCUAGCGUUGCUCGGAAUUACUGGGCGUAAAGCGCACGUAGGUGGCUUUCUAAGUCGGGGGUGAAAUCCUGGAGCUCAACUCCAGAACUGCCUUCGAUACUGGAGAGCUCGAGUCCGGGAGAGGUGAGUGGAACUGCGAGUGUAGAGGUGAAAUUCGUAGGAAUAUUCGCAAGAACACCAGUGGCGAAGGCAG
rnacentral:rRNA from 1 species